AAUAGAUACCCUGGUAGUCCACGCCGUAAACGAUGGAUGCUAGCUGUUAGGAGUAUCGACCCUUCUAGUAGCGAAGCUGACGCGUUAAGCAUCCCGCCUGGGGAGUACGGUCGCAAGAUUAAAACUCAAAGGAAUUGACGGGGGACCCGCACAAGUGGUGGAGCGUGUUCUUUAAUUCGAUGUUAAGCGAAGAACCUUACCAGGGCUUGACAUCCUUGGAAUUUCUCCGAAAGGAGAGAGUACUUUAUUGGACCAAGUGACAGGUGUUGCAUGGCCGUCGUCAGCUCGUGUCGUGAGAUGUUAGGUUAAGUCCUUCAACGUAGCGCAACCCUUAUGUUUAGUUGGAUUUUUUCUAAACAGACUGCCCCGGUAAACGGGGAGGAAGGAGGGGAUGAUGUCAGGUCAUUAUUACCCUUACGCCCUGGGCUAGAAACGCGCUACAAUGGCUGGUACAAAGGGCUGCCAACCCGCGAGGGGGAAGCAAAUCCCAUCAAAACCAGUCCCAGUUCGGAUUGCAGGCUGAAACUCGCCUGCAUGAAGCCGGAAUCACUAGUAACUCGGU
rnacentral:rRNA from 1 species